AGAGUUUGAUCAUGGCUCAGAUUGAACGCUGGCGGCAGGCCUAACACAUGCAAGUCGAACGGUAACAGGAAGAAGCUUGCUUCUUUGCUGACGAGUGGCGGACGGGUGAGUAAUGUCUGGGAAACUGCCUGAUGGAGGGGGAUAACUACUGGAAACGGUAGCUAAUACCGCAUAACGUCGCAAGACCAAAGAGGGGGACCUUCGGGCCUCUUGCCAUCGGAUGUGCCCAGAUGGGAUUAGCUAGUAGGUGGGGUAACGGCUCACCUAGGCGACGAUCCCUAGCUGGUCUGAGAGGAUGACCAGCCACACUGGAACUGAGACACGGUCCAGACUCCUACGGGAGGCAGCAGUGGGGAAUAUUGCACAAUGGGCGCAAGCCUGAUGCAGCCAUGCCGCGUGUAUGAAGAAGGCCUUCGGGUUGUAAAGUACUUUCAGCGGGGAGGAAGGGAGUAAAGUUAAUACCUUUGCUCAUUGACGUUACCCGCAGAAGAAGCACCGGCUAACUCCGUGCCAGCAGCCGCGGUAAUACGGAGGGUGCAAGCGUUAAUCGGAAUUACUGGGCGUAAAGCGCACGCAGGCGGUUUGUUAAGUCAGAUGUGAAAUCCCCGGGCUCAACCUGGGAACUGCAUCUGAUACUGGCAAGCUUGAGUCUCGUAGAGGGGGGUAGAAUUCCAGGUGUAGCGGUGAAAUGCGUAGAGAUCUGGAGGAAUACCGGUGGCGAAGGCGGCCCCCUGGACGAAGACUGACGCUCAGGUGCGAAAGCGUGGGGAGCAAACAGGAUUAGAUACCCUGGUAGUCCACGCCGUAAACGAUGUCGACUUGGAGGUUGUGCCCUUGAGGCGUGGCUUCCGGAGCUAACGCGUUAAGUCGACCGCCUGGGGAGUACGGCCGCAAGGUUAAAACUCAAAUGAAUUGACGGGGGCCCGCACAAGCGGUGGAGCAUGUGGUUUAAUUCGAUGCAACGCGAAGAACCUUACCUGGUCUUGACAUCCACGGAAGUUUUCAGAGAUGAGAAUGUGCCUUCGGGAACCGUGAGACAGGUGCUGCAUGGCUGUCGUCAGCUCGUGUUGUGAAAUGUUGGGUUAAGUCCCGCAACGAGCGCAACCCUUAUCCUUUGUUGCCAGCGGUCCGGCCGGGAACUCAAAGGAGACUGCCAGUGAUAAACUGGAGGAAGGUGGGGAUGACGUCAAGUCAUCAUGGCCCUCACGACCAGGGCUACACACGUGCUACAAUGGCGCAUACAAAGAGAAGCGACCUCGCGAGAGCAAGCGGACCUCAUAAAGUGCGUCGUAGUCCGGAUUGGAGUCUGCAACUCGACUCCAUGAAGUCGGAAUCGCUAGUAAUCGUGGAUCAGAAUGCCACGGUGAAUACGUUCCCGGGCCUUGUACACACCGCCCGUCACACCAUGGGAGUGGGUUGCAAAAGAAGUAGGUAGCUUAACCUUCGGGAGGGCGCUUACCACUUUGUGAUUCAUGACUGGGGUGAAGUCGAAACAAGGUAACCGUAGGGGAACCUGCGGCUG
rnacentral:rRNA from 1 species